GAUGAACGCUGGCGGCGUGCUUAACACAUGCAAGUCGAACGAUGAAGCCCAGCUUGCCGGGUGGAUUAGUGGCGAACGGGUGAGUAACACGUGAGUAACCUGCCCUUAACUCUGGGAUAAGCCUGGGAAACUGGGUCUAAUACCGGAUAGGAGCGUCCACCGCAUGGUGGGUGUUGGAAAGAUUUAUCGGUUUUGGAUGGACUCGCGGCCUAUCAGCUUGUUGGUGAGGUAAUGGCUCACCAAGGCGACGACGGGUAGCCGGCCUGAGAGGGUGACCGGCCACACUGGGACUGAGACACGGCCCAGACUCCUACGGGAGGUAGCAGUGGGGAAUAUUGCACAAUGGGCGCAAGCCUGAUGCAGCGACGCCGCGUGAGGGAUGACGGCCUUCGGGUUGUAAACCUCUUUCAGUAGGGAAGAAGCGAAAGUGACGGUACCUGCAGAAGAAGCACCGGCUAACUACGUG
rnacentral:rRNA from 1 species